UUCUUAUUCGCUGACAUUUGUUUUCUAAUUGCUUGAAAUUUGGUAAUUUCCUUAGUGUUUUCCUGGCCGACCUGUGCUGGUAUUGUAAUUAAGAGCUAAUACACCAUUCUCUGGUGAACUGCAGCUGCGGCCGAAUUUGAUUGUGUGCAUCAUCCUGCAGAUAUUUUGAAAUUUUGUGGACGCUUCUGCUGUGCUGCGUUCCUGCUCCGCCCGUGUAUUGCUCCGCCCGUGUUUUAUAGUGUUGCGUCCCAGUUGCGCCUUUGCAUUAGUGUGUGCGUUGUGCUUUAGACACGUUGAAAUUGUUUGUAUGCUUCUGCUGUGCUGCGUUACUGCUUCACCCGUGUAUUAAAUUGCAGCGUUCGUGUUAAUAUAAGCAUCGUCGUUUAAGUACA